AGGAGGUAAAAAUGCCAAG
rnacentral:misc_RNA from 1 species